rnacentral:rRNA from 1 species
AUUGAACGCUGGCGGCAUGCUUUACACAUGCAAGUCGAACGGCAGCGCGGGCUUCGGCCUGGCGGCGAGUGGCGAACGGGUGAGUAAUGCAUCGGAACGUGCCCAGUAGUGGGGGAUAGCCCGGCGAAAGCCGGAUUAAUACCGCAUACGACCUGAGGGUGAAAGCGGGGGACCGAAAGGCCUCGCGCUAUUGGAGCGGCCGAUGUCGGAUUAGCUAGUUGGUGGGGUAAAGGCUUACCAAGGCGACGAUCCGUAGCUGGUCUGAGAGGACGACCAGCCACACUGGGACUGAGACACGGCCUAGACUCCUACGAGAGGCAGCAGUGGGGAAUUUUGGACAAUGGGGGCAACCCUGAUCCAGCCAUGCCGCGUGCGGGAAGAAGGCCUUCGGGUUGUAAACCGCUUUUGUUCGGGAAGAAAUCCUCUGGGCUAAUACCCCGGGGGGAUGACGGUACCGGAAGAAUAAGCACCGGCUAACUACGUG